CCUACGGGAGGCAGCAGUGGGGAAUAUUGCACAAUGGGCGAAAGCCUGAUGCAGCAACGCCGCGUGAGCGAUGAAGGCCCUCGGGUCGUAAAGCUCUGUCCUCAAGGAAGAUAAUGACGGUACUUGAGGAGGAAGCCCCGGCUAACUACGUGCCAGCAGCCGCGGUAAUACGUAGGGGGCUAGCGUUAUCCGGAUUUACUGGGCGUAAAGGGUGCGCAGGUGGGUUCUUAAGUCAGAGGUGAAAGGCUACGGCUCAACCGGAGUAUGCCUUUGAAACUGGGGAGCUUGAGUGCAGGAGAGGAGGGUGGAAUUCCUGGUGUAGCGGUGAAAUGCGUAGAUAUUAGGAGGAACACCGGUUGCGAAGGCGGCUCUCCGGACUGUAACUGACGCUCAGGCCCGAAAGCGUGGGGAGCAAACAGGAUUAGAUACCCCUGUAGUC
rnacentral:rRNA from 1 species